UCCAAAUUACCUUUAAAAGUACCUGUAAUUUUUAAAAUGUUAAAUAAAAAGAUAACUAAUAUAAAUUUAUUUAAAAACUAAACUAAAUAAAUUUGUAUUUAUUGGACAUAAAAAACACUAUAACUAAUCCCAUACACAAACAAACUUAAAACCUAAUCCUUUCCCCUUCUUCCUUCCUGUUCUCAGAUCGCCGCGGCCGAUCGAGGCGGCCUAUCGAGGCGGCCAACUCGAUGCGCACGGCCAUGAGUGAGGCGUGCGGCCGCGGGCGACCACGGUCUCCUCGCAGUCGGGCUAGGCCGAGGAAACUUCGCGGCCGCCCAGAUCUGUCAAAUAUCUGGGUGAGGCGACCUCAGCCGACCUCCGGCCGGGCGAGGGCGGCCCUCCGGCGGACGGGCGUUGCGGCCGCGGAAAACUUCGCAGCCGCCCAGAUCUGGCAAAUAUCUUACCUGAGACUAGAUCGGAGGACUGGAAUGAGCUCCGCUGUCGAAGACUGGAAUCUGAGAGGCUGAGCUCCGCAAGACUGGGAUCUGAGAGAACUGAGCUCUUCUGUAGAUGACUGGAAUCUGAGAGGAGUGAGCUCCGCUGUCGAAGACUGGAAUGAGGACUGCGCUCCGCUAUGGACAACAGGAAUCUGAGAGGUAUGAACUUCGCACGAUCUUGUGAAUUAGGUUUUAGGAAUUAAAAUGGGAGUUAAAACCGAUUGGGAAUGGGAUAUCCACAAUGGGAGAAGAUGGAAUGGGAAAACUCCAAAAAUAAAUAACCCCACCCAAAGUUUGAAGAAGCACCUCCAUAUGGUAAGCCUAGAAGAGGAACCCUCAGAGAUAGAGAACCCCCGAGUACUUUGAACUUGAUAGGUUCAAUUUUGAGCUCAUUGCCGCCAAUGGUAUUAAGAUAUGGAUUAUGCAGGAUGACAUUCUGUUUGACAAUAUUUUAGUAGCUAACUAUCGAACGAUGAGAAGGUUGCUGAGAUGGAAAACAUAAGAUUUGAAGAAACGACUUCUGGGUUUGGCUUCUAAGACGAACUUUCAAGAUUUCCAGGUGAUGAUGCCACUCUAUGUUUUAAAUUUAGUUGAGGAACAUGACAUUCUUAAUCUCUUUGAUUUUUUUUUUCUGUUGCAGAGGAGAAUAUUAGCUGACAUUCUUUUCCUAGAGCUUUACAAGAUUAAAAUCCCUCGAUUCAAAAUUUUCAAUUAUUGUCAAUUUCUUAUUGAAAUAAUGCUCCCCAAAUAGUCCUAUUAGUUUCUUUCUUUAGAUUUCCUAUUUUAAUCCCUAGUAUUGAGUUAGUAUUGAUUUCUUUUUAGGAUUUGAUUGAUAAGGUAGACAAACAAACUACACUUACCAUUAACGGAGCUAGCCUCAGUUAAGCUUUGGAUUUAUCUUGACUUAAUGUAAAUUCAGUUGUGAGCUAAAUAACUUAUUAACUCUUUGAACCUUAUUGUAUCCAGGAGUAGUAGAUGAAGAGCUACAAAUAGACGUUCCACCUUCUUCAUCUUUAAGGAGAAAAAGAAUGGAGAAGAUGACAUCAUCCAUUUCAUGAGAAUUUGAUACCGAAGUAAAUGGUGCAAAGAUUAGAUUAUUUGUGUUAUUUAAAAUUUUAUUUAGUUACUAAUGAUGAUAAUGGUUUAGUUUACUUGGAUAAUAUGAAUAUUUAUUUAUAUUAGUGUUAAUUGCAUGUUAUUUUUUAAUUAA